UGCCCAGCAACUCCUAUCCCUACCUCCUCGCGGUACCGGCCGGAGGAGCGGCUCACAACAGCGUCUGAUCCCCAUGUUAGGGGCGGCUGAUCUACGUCCGCGUGCCAGGGAAGG
rnacentral:ribozyme from 1 species